ACUAAGCGUACACGGUGGAUGCCCUGGCAGUCAGAGGCGAUGAAGGACGUGCUAAUCUGCGAUAAGCGUCGGUAAGGUGAUAUGAACCGUUAUAACCGGCGAUUUCCGAAUGGGGAAACCCAGUGUGUUUCGACACACUAUCAUUAACUGAAUCCAUAGGUUAAUGAGGCGAACCGGGGGAACUGAAACAUCUAAGUACCCCGAGGAAAAGAAAUCAACCGAGAUUCCCCCAGUAGCGGCGAGCGAACGGGGAGCAGCCCAGAGCCUGAAUCAGUGUGUGUGUUAGUGGAAGCGUCUGGAAAGGCGCGCGAUACAGGGUGACAGCCCCGUACACAAAAAUGCACAUGCUGUGAGCUCGAUGAGUAGGGCGGGACACGUGGUAUCCUGUCUGAAUAUGGGGGGACCAUCCUCCAAGGCUAAAUACUCCUGACUGACCGAUAGUGAACCAGUACCGUGAGGGAAAGGCGAAAAGAACCCCGGCGAGGGGAGUGAAAAAGAACCUGAAACCGUGUACGUACAAGCAGUGGGAGCCUCUUUAUGGGGUGACUGCGUACCUUUUGUAUAAUGGGUCAGCGACUUAUAUUCUGUAGCAAGGUUAACCGAAUAGGGGAGCCGAAGGGAAACCGAGUCUUAACUGGGCGUUAAGUUGCAGGGUAUAGACCCGAAACCCGGUGAUCUAGCCAUGGGCAGGUUGAAGGUUGGGUAACACUAACUGGAGGACCGAACCGACUAAUGUUGAAAAAUUAGCGGAUGACUUGUGGCUGGGGGUGAAAGGCCAAUCAAACCGGGAGAUAGCUGGUUCUCCCCGAAAGCUAUUUAGGUAGCGCCUCGUGAAUUCAUCUCCGGGGUAGAGCACUGUUUCGGCAAGGGGGUCAUCCCGACUUACCAACCCGAUGCAAACUGCGAAUACCGGAGAAUGUUAUCACGGGAGACACACGGCGGGUGCUAACGUCCGUCGUGAAGAGGGAAACAACCCAGACCGCCAGCUAAGGUCCCAAAGUCAUGGUUAAGUGGGAAACGAUGUGGGAAGGCCCAGACAGCCAGGAUGUUGGCUUAGAAGCAGCCAUCAUUUAAAGAAAGCGUAAUAGCUCACUGGUCGAGUCGGCCUGCGCGGAAGAUGUAACGGGGCUAAACCAUGCACCGAAGCUGCGGCAGCGACGCUUAUGCGUUGUUGGGUAGGGGAGCGUUCUGUAAGCCUGUGAAGGUGUGCUGUGAGGCAUGCUGGAGGUAUCAGAAGUGCGAAUGCUGACAUAAGUAACGAUAAAGCGGGUGAAAAGCCCGCUCGCCGGAAGACCAAGGGUUCCUGUCCAACGUUAAUCGGGGCAGGGUGAGUCGACCCCUAAGGCGAGGCCGAAAGGCGUAGUCGAUGGGAAACAGGUUAAUAUUCCUGUACUUGGUGUUACUGCGAAGGGGGACGGAGAAGGCUAUGUUGGCCGGGCGACGGUUGUCCCGGUUUAAGCGUGUAGGCUGAUUUUCCAGGCAAAUCCGGAAAAUCAAGGCUGAGGCGUGAUGACGAGGCACUACGGUGCUGAAGCAACAAAUGCCCUGCUUCCAGGAAAAGCCUCUAAGCAUCAGGUAACAUCAAAUCGUACCCCAAACCGACACAGGUGGUCAGGUAGAGAAUACCAAGGCGCUUGAGAGAACUCGGGUGAAGGAACUAGGCAAAAUGGUGCCGUAACUUCGGGAGAAGGCACGCUGAUAUGUAGGUGAAGUCCCUCGCGGAUGGAGCUGAAAUCAGUCGAAGAUACCAGCUGGCUGCAACUGUUUAUUAAAAACACAGCACUGUGCAAACACGAAAGUGGACGUAUACGGUGUGACGCCUGCCCGGUGCCGGAAGGUUAAUUGAUGGGGUCAGCGCAAGCGAAGCUCUUGAUCGAAGCCCCGGUAAACGGCGGCCGUAACUAUAACGGUCCUAAGGUAGCGAAAUUCCUUGUCGGGUAAGUUCCGACCUGCACGAAUGGCGUAAUGAUGGCCAGGCUGUCUCCACCCGAGACUCAGUGAAAUUGAACUCGCUGUGAAGAUGCAGUGUACCCGCGGCAAGACGGAAAGACCCCGUGAACCUUUACUAUAGCUUGACACUGAACAUUGAGCCUUGAUGUGUAGGAUAGGUGGGAGGCUUUGAAGUGUGGACGCCAGUCUGCAUGGAGCCGGCCUUGAAAUACCACCCUUUAAUGUUUGAUGUUCUAACGUGGACCCGUAAUCCGGGUUGCGGACAGUGUCUGGUGGGUAGUUUGACUGGGGCGGUCUCCUCCUAAAGAGUAACGGAGGAGCACGAAGGUUGGCUAAUCCUGGUCGGACAUCAGGAGGUUAGUGCAAUGGCAUAAGCUAGCUUGACUGCGAGCGUGACGGCGCGAGCAGGUGCGAAAGCAGGUCAUAGUGAUCCGGUGGUUCUGAAUGGAAGGGCCAUCGCUCAACGGAUAAAAGGUACUCCGGGGAUAACAGGCUGAUACCGCCCAAGAGUUCAUAUCGACGGCGGUGUUUGGCACCUCGAUGUCGGCUCAUCACAUCCUGGGGCUGAAGUAGGUCCCAAGGGUAUGGCUGUUCGCCAUUUAAAGUGGUACGCGAGCUGGGUUUAGAACGUCGUGAGACAGUUCGGUCCCUAUCUGCCGUGGGCGCUGGAGAACUGAGGGGGGCUGCUCCUAGUACGAGAGGACCGGAGUGGACGCAUCACUGGUGUUCGGGUUGUCAUGCCAAUGGCACUGCCCGGUAGCUAAAUGCGGAAGAGAUAAGUGCUGAAAGCAUCUAAGCACGAAACUUGCCCCGAGAUGAGUUCUCCCUGACCCUUUAAGGGUCCUGAAGGAACGUUGAAGACGACGACGUUGAUAGGCCGGGUGUGUAAGCGCAGCGAUGCGUUGAGCUAACCGGUACUAAUGAACCGUGAGGCUUAACC
rnacentral:rRNA from 1 species